CCGCUACCAUGCAGUCGAGCGAGAUCUUCGGAUCUAGCGGCGGACGGGUGAGUAACGCGUGGGAACGUACCCUCUUCUGCGGGAUAGCCACUGGAAACGGUGAGUAAUACCGCAUACGCCCUUCGGGGGAAAGAUUUAUCGGAGGAGGAUCGGCCCGCGUUGGAUUAGGUAGUUGGUGGGGUAAUGGCCUACCAAGCCUACGAUCCAUAGCUGGUUUUAGAGGAUGAUCAGCCACACUGGGACUGAGACACGGCCCAGACUCCUACGGGAGGCAGCAGUGGGGAAUCUUAGACAAUGGGCGCAAGCCUGAUCUAGCCAUGCCGCGUGAGUGACGAAGGCCUUAGGGUCGUAAAGCUCUUUCGCCUGUGAUGAUAAUGACAGUAGCAGGUAAAGAAACCCCGGCUAACUCCGUGCCAGCAGCCGCGGUAAUACGGAGGGGGUUAGCGUUGUUCGGAAUUACUGGGCGUAAAGCGCACGUAGGCGGAUUGGAAAGUAUGGGGUGAAAUCCCAGGGCUCAACCCUGGAACGGCCUCAUAAACUUCCAGUCUGGAGUUCGAGAGAGGUGAGUGGAAUUCCGAGUGUAGAGGUGAAAUUCGUAGAUAUUCGGAGGAACACCAGUGGCGAAGGCGGCUCACUGGCUCGAUACUGACGCUGAGGUGCGAAAGUGUGGGGAGCAAACAGGAUUAGAUACCCUGGUAGUCCACA
rnacentral:rRNA from 1 species